UCAUGUUUUGAUCAGCCACAGGGCACACGGGCAGCCAAACAAUACUCUGCAGCCAGAAAGGGAGACUUUUGUUGACCAUGCAGGAAAUGAAGCCAACAAGACAAGUUCAGCAACGGGAAGCCUGUUGCCAGGCAACAGCCCAGAGUGUAUGAUUAAAACUUUGAUUUCCAAUCUAUCACCUGAGAGACUGAUGUGGCUUCCUUCCUCUGAUGCUCCGCAGAGCAGCUGGGAUGGACUCGUGCACGGCAGCUCCACACUCGCCAAAUGAAUCUUUACUGUGAAAUGAAACAUUUGGUUCACAUGGAGCCGGGCUUCCUCAUCUUCCAGCAACUUGACAUCCAGCUACACCUUCAGAAUGUCAUUUUGUGUCCUGAUUCAAAACUUGUGCUCACCUAACUUGGUUCAUUUGGGGAUUUCUGGACAUUUGUUUUCUCCUGACUCCUGGUAGCUUUGGUCUUCUGCCCAUUCAGCCAUGACUUUAAAUAAAAGUAGUAAGGGUAUGAGACGGAUAAAAGGAGGAACAAAACUUCAUUCAUGUGUGCUUUUUUGGAUGUCAAAGGCCUCGCAGAUGACGGUGUUACAACCAGGUUUCAUCACUGUGAUUGAUUCUGAUCCGUCUGAGAUACUCUUAAGUUCUGGGUGACGAUUUGAAAGAUGAAUAGAGGAGGAAGGAACAGAGCGUAGGUGUUUGUGAGUGUGAGUCCUUCCACAUUCACAUAUAAUGAGCAGUGUCAGGGCCUCCUAACAGUUCGGCCUCAGGCAAUAAAGUGAUACAUGAAUUUCAUAUUUAUCGAGGCAUGUCUGUGUAGAAAAAUGAAAGGUGUGUGUGUGUGACACGCACAUGUUCAAUAUAUGUGUGCCAGCGAUCCGAGAUUUAUCUAGAGAGGCUGCUCCCCUCUGGCAUCCAUGGCACCCCAAUAGGGAGGAAAUCAAAUCUAGAGGCCAAAGAUGAUACGUUGGUGACACACAGAGAAAAAAGGAUGAGGCGAAAGUGAGAUGAGAUGUUGCGCUCCGAGCGGAGAAAAACUUGAAAAAGAGAUGGAAUGAAAGGGUGAAAAUUGACGGACAUUUUGUGGCUUCAGGAGACGGAAUGAAAAAAUAAAGAGGUCUGAGAUUGGAGAGAGGAAGGAGACACAAGGGGACUUGACAGUGGCAGCCACAUUAAAAAGGAAGA